rnacentral:rRNA from 1 species
AUGAACGCUGGCGGCGUGCUUAACACAUGCAAGUCGAGCGAAGCGCCUCGAAGUUUUCGGACAGAUGGGUGACUGAGCGGCGGACGGGUGAGUAACGCGUGGGUAACCUGCCUCAUACAGGGGGAUAACAGUUAGAAAUGACUGCUAAUACCGCAUAAGCGCACAGGACCGCAUGGUCUGGUGUGAAAAAACUCCGGUGGUAUGAGAUGGACCCGCGGCGCAUUAGCUGGUUGGUGAGGUAACGGCCCACCAAGGCGACGAUCGGUAGCCGGACUGAGAGGUUGAACGGCCACAUUGGGACUGAGACACGGCCCAGACUCCUACGGGAGGCAGCAGUGGGGAAUAUUGCACAAUGGGCGAAAGCCUGACGGAGCAACGCCGCGUGAGUGAAGAAGGUCUUCGGAUCGUAAAGCUCUGUUGUCGGGGACGAAUGUUGAGACCUAGAACAUAGGUUUCAAAUGACGGUACCUGACGAGGAAGCCACGGCUAACUACGUG